UCGCUCAACGGAUAAAAGCUACCCCGGGGAUAACAGGCUUAUCUCCCCCAAGAGUUCACAUCGACGGGGAGGUUUGGCACCUCGAUGUCGGCUCAUCGCAUCCUGGGGCUGUAGUCGGUCCCAAGGGUUGGGCUGUUCGCCCAUUAAAGCGGUACGCGAGCUGGGUUCAGAACGUCGUGAGACAGUUCGGUCCCUAUCCGUCGUGGGCGUAGGAAAUUUGAGAGGAGCUGUCCUUAGUACGAGAGGACCGGGAUGGACAUACCUCUGGUGUACCAGUUGUCGUGCCAACGGCAUAGCUGGGUAGCUAUGUGUGGACGGGAUAAGUGCUGAAAGCAUCUAAGCAUGAAGCCCCCCUCAAGAUGAGAUUUCCCAACUUCGGUUAUAAGAUCCCUCAAAGAUGAUGAGGUUAAUAGGUUCGAGGUGGAAGCAUGGUGACAUGUGGAGCUGACGAAUACUAAUCGAUCGAAGACUUAAUCAA
rnacentral:rRNA from 1 species